GGUAUGCGGCCCAGAUCCCGAACGUCCCAAUGGUCAUGAUGGUGUGGUUACACUGUGUGAGUAGAGCAAAAUCUUUGGCAGGUGAGCCCUCAAUGCCAUCGCCAGCAAACACCACAUCACCGUGGGAGGUGUCAAUGUUCUCCCGACACCAGGCCAUGCCAUUACUGGUGACCACGAAGAUGAGGGAGCUGUAGCGAGCUCGGAACCAGUCCAGGGCCUGCUGUAGGUAUCGCCGGUCGGCCACCACCCCCUUCCACACUUUUGGCAUGACAUGGACAUAGUCCCCUCGGCGAACAUGGACCCCUACAAAGGUGCCCGGCCGGCUCCCGUUCACCUGCAGGCCCCGCAGGAACUUCUGGGCCUCCUCCCGCACGUGGUCGUGCAGGGUGAACUCCUGGAGGAUCUCCUGGCGGAGGUGGUGGUAGAAGGUCCAGGAGCAGGGGUAGCCGGUGAAGCGGACGUACUCCCCCGGGAUGUGGCGGUAUUCCUCCUCCAUCCAGUCGUUCAGGUGGUAGUUCUGCCAGGGGAUCCUGCUGGCCGUGGCGCUGUGCAGCACCGGCAGGGUGAUUCUGAAGAUGGGGGCCAGGGUGCUGUGCAUCUGGGCCGGGAUGAAGGCGGGCCGCCCGUUCAUCUUGGCCAGGGCGUACAGUGUGGCGUACUCGCCCAUCUGGUUCCCCAGGCGGCCUAUUGCAUUGAUCGUCCACAUCCCCCUGAGCUGGCUGGGUCCCAGUGCCUUUGAUGUUGAGGCUAGCACUGGUAUCUGCACCGGUAACUCCCACAUGGCUUGAAUCUUCGCUAGCCGCUGCUGAACGUGAAAUAUAGUGGAAACCGUAAAGACAAAGAGGAUGAAGUGGGCCAUGGGAAAGGAGAAAGGCAUCUGAACGACCAGCAUGGCUGUCAGGGGAGGAAAACGGGACACGUUAGCUGGGAGAUGGAGGCCCGGGGCGCUGGUGAACGUGGCCAUGCGGUGGUGUGCAGGCAUAGUGUGGGUGUGUGUGUGCUUCUACUUCAGGUGUGUAAAUACUUGGCACAUACUUGCCUAUGUGCACAGGCAUGUAUCUCAAGUGUGUUUAUACAGAUGUGUCUACAUUGUGUUCAUAGGUGGGUGUGUGUACACAGGUAGAUGCGUACACAUUGUGUGUAAUGUGGAUAUGGGGAUCCAUACAUUGUAUACAUAUACAGGUGUGUGCAAAAUUGUGUGUGUACAUAUACAGCUGUGUACAAAUGGACAUGUGUACAUGGUAGUGUAUGGGUAGAGAUAUAUCGUGUACAUGUAAGGGUAUAUGUGUAAGUAUGUAUACACAUACAUAUGUCAUCUAGGUGAUUGUGAACACAGCAUGUGUGUAUAUGUGAAUGUGUAUACAUAUAUAUGUAUAUAUAUACACUUUGUGUAUCUAUA
rnacentral:lncRNA from 1 species